CAUUUAUACUUUCCUGUCUGUCUUGUCUGACCAAUGUCAUUAUGGUGCUUUGGUGGUCCCUCCUUCAGGGUAUUUCUGCAGUGGGACUGGACUUCUGUCUCCAACUGGAUUAUGUGAAGGUGGAUUCUACUGCAGUGGAGGAGCUGUUUCUCCUAACCCUCCCAGGACAACAGUCAGUGGAGGACCGUGUCCACCUGGACAUUACUGUGUGGUGGGGAGCAGCAGAGCCCAGCCUUGCCCUGCAGGGAGUUACAGCCCAUCCUGGAGUAUGGCACAGUGUUUGGAGUGCCCAGAAGGUUUUUACUGCGAGGCUGCUUCCACAAACUACACAGAUUGCCCUGCAGGUGGGUCUCAUUGUACCUACUCACUCGUUCUGGGAACUUUUCAGGAUUAGCUGAUGCUCUUAUAGCUGUUUGGAGUAGAUUCAACAUUGGACUGUGUUGCAUGAGUCACCAAUCUCUUCUGCUGGACCUUGGUCAAAGCACUUAACCUCUUUGUGAUUCAGUUCCCCUGUCUGAAUAGACAGUAACUAUGGAGACUUUUAGAACAUACUUCAAGACUUAUUAAAAAACUGAUUGCUGUUAAAAGUAUUGCUAAUCCUCAACACCCGUCAGCUCCAUUUUAUGCUGCUAAUGUGACAGAGAUGUCUUCCAGUCGUGACAAAUGGGCCCACUGUCAUAGCUUGGCUCCAGUCUUCCUCAGAAACAGAUGAAGAGAAUUGUGUGUGUACAAGUUGGGAGGUUCUUCUCUGGUUAUCACCAGCACGUGCUGAUCUUUUUGAAACCUGUCUUUUCUCUCCUAGGUCACUACUGCCCCAGGAAUACCAAAUUUGCCACUCAGUAUCCUUGUCCUCCUGGAACGUACAGUGAAGCUUUAAAUAUCUGGGAUGCUUCCAAGUGCCAGCUGUGUCCUCCUGGAAGGGUCUGUUCCAAGCCAGGCCUAGCAAGACCAGAUGGACUGUGUAUGCCUGGAUGGUUUUGUCCACCUGGAUCUGUGUCAAGCAAGCCAAUGUUUCCUGGAAAUCACUCAGUGGACGUGGCAGCUCCAGCUUCUGGAUCUUUUGGACGGUGCCAGGCAGGAACCUUUUGUCCUGCUGGAUCAUUUCUUCCUAUUCCCUGCACUCCAGGUUUGUACUGUGCAACUGCAGAGCUAUCAGCUCCAUCAGGUCCCUGUGAGGCUGGCUUCUACUGCACAGGGGGCUCCAUGCUCCCAAACCCCAUGGAUGGAGCGGUGGGGAACAUUUGUCCUCGAGGCCACUUCUGUCCUGCAGGGAGUUCUUCUCCAUCUCCGUGUCCCCGAGGUAGGUUUGACAGCAGCUGCUGCGUGCCAUCAUUUCUCUUACCAGUGCCUAGUGAGCUGCUGAGCUCAUCUGAGUCUGUGCCAUUGUUUUGCAGCCCCUUGUUAUUUUGCACUGAAGCAUGCCUUUACAUUCCCCGAGGGGCAGCUGCUGUCAGCAUGGAAUCUUAGCUGCUAAUCUGCUGCUGUUGUAUCGGAAGCAUCAGUCCUAAAUUCAGACAGUAAUUGCACAACUGCCUCUGGAGCCUCAGUCUGUGGCAUACAUGCUGCUGUGCAGCUGUCGGGAGGAAGCUCUUUGCUGAGCCUUCCUGAAGGAAAGGUCACACAGCAGUGGUG
ensembl:lncRNA